UACGUAGGGUGCAAGCGUUAAUCGGAAUUACUGGGCGUAAAGCGUGCGCAGGCGGUUUUGUAAGUCUGAUGUGAAAUCCCCGGGCUCAACCUGGGAAUUGCAUUGGAGACUGCAAGGCUAGAAUCUGGCAGAGGGGGGGUAGAAUUCCACGUGUAGCAGUGAAAUGCGUAGAGAUGUGGAGGAACACCGAUGGCGAAGGCAGCCCCCUGGGUCAAGAUUGACGCUCAUGCACGAAAGGCGUGGGGAGCAAACAGG
rnacentral:rRNA from 1 species